GACGAACGCUGGCGGCGUGCUUAACACAUGCAAGUCGAACGGAAAGGCUCUGCUUUUGUUGGGUGCUCGAGUGGCGAACGGUUGAGUAACACGUGAGUAACCUGCCCUUGACUUUGGGAUAACUUCAGGAAACUGUGGCUAAUACCGGAUAGGAGCUCCUGCUGCAUGGUGGGGGUUGGAAAGUUUCGGCGGGUGGGGAUGGACUCGCGGCUUAUUAGCUUGUUGGUGGGGUAGUGGCUUACCAAGGCUUCGACGGGUAGCCGGCCUGAGAGGGUGACCGGCCACAGUGGGACUGAGAUACGGCCAAGAGUCAUUCGGGAGGAAGGAGUGGAGAAUAUUGCAAAAUGGGCGGAAGCCGGAUGCAGCAACGUCGGGUGCGGGAUCACGGCCUUAAGGUUGUAACCCGCUUUCGCCUGUGAAGUAGCGUGAGUGACGGUAAUGGGUAAAGAAGCGCCGGCUAACUACGUG
rnacentral:rRNA from 1 species